GGCGAACCGGGGGAACUGAAACAUCUAAGUACCCCGAGGAAAAGAAAUCAACCGAGAUUCCGAAAGUAGCGGCGAGCGAAAUUGGACUAGCCCUUAAGCUUUACACGCGUUAGACGAACGGUCUGGAAAGUCCGACGAUACAGGGUGAUAGUCCCGUAGUUGACGACGUGUGUUCAGUGAAAUCGAGUAGGGCGGGACACGUGAUAUCCUGUCUGAAUAUGGGGGGACCAUCCUCCAAGGCUAAAUACUACUGACUGACCGAUAGUGAACCAGUACCGUGAGGGAAAGGCGAAAAGAACCCCUGUGAGGGGAGUGAAAUAGAACCUGAAACCGUGUACGUACAAGCAGUAGGAGCAGGCUUUGUCCUGUGACUGCGUACCUUUUGUAUAAUGGGUCAGCGACUUAUAUUCAGUGGCAAGGUUAACCAUCUAGGGGAGCCGUAGGGAAACCGAGUCUUAACUGGGCGUUCAGUCUCUGGAUAUAGACCCGAAACCAGGUGAUCUAGCCAUGGGCAGGUUGAAGGUUGAGUAACAUCAACUGGAGGACCGAACCGACUAAUGUUGAAAAAUUAGCGGAUGACUUGUGGCUAGGGGUGAAAGGCCAAUCAAACCUGGAGAUAGCUGGUUCUCCCCGAAAGCUAUUUAGGUAGCGCCUCGGACGAAUACUACUGGGGGUAGAGCACUGUUAAGGCUAGGGGGUCAUCCCGACUUACCAACCCUUUGCAAACUCCGAAUACCAGUAAGUACUAUCCGGGAGACACACGGCGGGUGCUAACGUCCGUCGUGGAGAGGGAAACAACCCAGACCGCCAGCUAAGGUCCCAAAUUACUACUAAGUGGGAAACGAUGUGGGAAGGCUCAGACAGCCAGGAUGUUGGCUUAGAAGCAGCCAUCAUUUAAAGAAAGCGUAAUAGCUCACUGGUCGAGUCGGCCUGCGCGGAAGAUGUAACGGGGCUAAGUAGUAAACCGAAGCUGCGGCAAUGUGCUUUUGCACAUUGGGUAGGGGAGCGUUCUGUAAGCGGUUGAAGGUGUGUGGUAACGCAUGCUGGACGUAUCAGAAGUGCGAAUGCUGACAUGAGUAACGAUAAAGGGGGUGAAAAACCUCCUCGCCGGAAGACCAAGGGUUCCUGUCCAACGUUAAUCGGGGCAGGGUAAGUCGACCCCUAAGGCGAGGCCGAAAGGCGUAGUCGAUGGGAAACGGGUUAAUAUUCCCGUACUUCUUACAAUUGCGAUGGGGGGACGGAGAAGGCUAGGUGGGCCUGGCGACGGUUGUCCAGGUUCAAGUGCGUAGGCUUAAGAGUUAGGUAAAUCCGGCUCUUUCUAAGGCUGAGACACGACGUCGAGCACCUACGGGUGUGAAGUCAUUGAUGCCAUGCUUCCAGGAAAAGCCUCUAAGCUUCAGAUUGUAAGGAAUCGUACCCCAAACCGACACAGGUGGUCGGGUAGAGAAUACCAAGGCGCUUGAGAGAACUCGGGUGAAGGAACUAGGCAAAAUGGUACCGUAACUUCGGGAGAAGGUACGCUCUUGAUGGUGAAGUCCCUCGCGGAUGGAGCUGACGAGAGUCGCAGAUACCAGGUGGCUGCAACUGUUUAUUAAAAACACAGCACUGUGCAAAAUCGUAAGAUGACGUAUACGGUGUGACGCCUGCCCGGUGCCGGAAGGUUAAUUGAUGGGGUUAGACUUCGGUCGAAGCUCUUGAUCGAAGCCCCGGUAAACGGCGGCCGUAACUAUAACGGUCCUAAGGUAGCGAAAUUCCUUGUCGGGUAAGUUCCGACCUGCACGAAUGGCGUAAUGAUGGCCACGCUGUCUCCACCCGAGACUCAGUGAAAUUGAAAUCGCUGUGAAGAUGCAGUGUACCCGCGGCUAGACGGAAAGACCCCGUGAACCUUUACUACAGCUUGGCACUGAACAUUGACCCUACAUGUGUAGG
rnacentral:rRNA from 1 species